rnacentral:rRNA from 1 species
CACGUAGUUAGCCGGGGCUUCUUAGUCAGGUACCGUCCAAAGUCCUGUGGACUUUUUUUCUUCCCUGCUGAUAGAGCUUUACGUACCGAAAUACUUCUUCACUCACGCGGCGUCGCUGCAUCAGGGUUUCCCCCAUUGUGCAAUAUCCCCCACUGCUGCCUCCCGUAGGAGUCCGGGCCGUGUCUCAGUCCCAAUGUGGCCGUUCACCCUCUCAGGCCCGGCUACUGAUCGUUGCCUUGGUGGCUUUUACCUCACCAACUAGCUAAUCAGACGCGGAACCAUCGUAUACCACCGGAGUUUUUCACACUGCUUCAUGCGAAGCUGUGCGCUUAUGCGGUAUUAGCACCUAUUUCUAAGUGUUAUCCCCCAGUACUACGGCAGGUUUCCACGCGUUACUCACCCGUCCGCCACUAACUUAUAAUUCACUAGGUUUCGUUAUAAGUCCGUUCGACUUGCUAUGUGUUAGGCACGUCCGGCCAGCCGUUCAUCCCUGACGCCUAGGAUCGAAACUUCUA